AUAUCAUAUAUAUCUUUAGUGCAUAAUAUCAUAUAUAUUUGUAAAUAUCAUACAUAAAGGAAGCUAUGGUCUGUGAUGUGAUGAUGUAUGCAAAGAAGAUUUGUUAUAUAACAUAUGUAUCGUAUACAAUAUUACUAUUAUUUUCAGUGUCAGAUCCUGGGGUUGUCCCUCUUUUUUUUGACAAUCAAUGCUUUUGAAUGGGGAAAUAUGAUUGUAACCCUCUUUAUCCUGGGUUGGAACCCUCCUUUUAAAAAUGGCUGGAUCCACCCCUGAUUUUCAUUAUAAAUAUGAUCAUUCAUUGAUUGUCAAAGACAAGCUCAUCAUAUAGAUUUUCAAAAGUUUUAAAUUUAUUUGUUUAAUAAUCCUAGCUUAUCUUGUGAUAAUUUUUUUCAAUGUAAGACAUCUUAGUUUGUUUCAAAGUAGGAAAGUUGUUAGUGCUUCAAAAGCAUUCUUGCUUUAAGGAAAAGGAGUAGGUCCGGUAAGGGCCAAUUUUGGCCUCAAAUUUCAGGUUCAUCCAACGAAAGUUUUUGGAUACUUUUUAAACACUUAAGUGUCUAUUUCAAUUGAUUCGAUUAGUUUAUGUGAAAGAUUUAAACUGAUUUAGUCAUUAAAAAUGCUCUGAUUGAAGCUUAAAUAUGAAAAAUCUAUCAAAUAUGCC
rnacentral:lncRNA from 1 species